GGGUGCGAUCAUACCAGCACUAAUGAACCGGAUCCGAUCAGAACUCCGCAGUCAAGUGGGCUUGGGCGAGAGUAGUACUAGGAUGGGUGACCUAUUGGGAAAUCCUCGUGUUAUACCCU
rfam:Gossypium arboreum cultivar AKA8401 contig_85185_1, whole genome shotgun sequence.